AGCGAACGCUGGCGGCAGGCUUAACACAUGCAAGUCGAGCGGGCACUUUCGGGUGUCCGCGGCGGACGGGUGCGUAACGCGUGGGAACGUGCCCUCUGGUUCGGAAUAACUCAGGGAAACUUGAGCUAAUACCGGAUACGCCCUUUUGGGAAAAGGCUUGCUGCCGGAGGAUCGGCCCGCGUCUGAUUAGCUAGUUGGUGAGGUAACGGCUCACCAAGGCGACGAUCAGUAGCUGGUCUGAGAGGAUGAUCAGCCACACUGGGACUGAGACACGGCCCAGACUCCUACGGGAGGCAGCAGUGGGGAAUAUUGGACAAUGGGCGCAAGCCUGAUCCAGCCAUGCCGCGUGAGUGAUGAAGGCCUUAGGGUUGUAAAGCUCUUUUAUCCGGGACGAUAAUGACGGUACCGGAGGAAUAAGCCCCGGCUAACUUCGUG
rnacentral:rRNA from 1 species